UUAAAAUAUAAUAUAAAAAAUUAAGUGCUAUUACUUAAUAAUAAUUUUAAAAUAAAAAAAAUUACAUUUAUUUGUAAUAUAUGCAUUUUAAUACGAUAUUUUUAAUCAAAUCAUAUUUGGUGCUUAUGUGAUCCGCCCCUGCAGGUAUAGAAUCCAUGAAGGGUUGAGAUCAAUAUGCAUUCAUUGAUUGCUCUGUAGCUGCGCUGCGUCGGUCUCGUCGAAUUUAUCUUCUUUGUAGCACUAAACAUUAAGCAUGUAAUAUCUAUCUGCUUGCUUGGUUGCAUCUUGCGUGCAUCUUUUAACAUUUGUAUAAUUGAAUUCCAAUAAUUAAAAAAUACGCGUUAUAAGAUGCUAUGUAAGAUGCCGUAUGUUUUUCAUGUUGAUACAGCCCCUAUGUGAUAAGCAAAGAAGAUUUCAUAAUUUUAAAACUACCUGUUUCAUCGAUCAUCAUACGUUAUGUACAAAGAAUACAUAUGAACGAGUUUUGCGAGGUUGAUAAUCUGGUGUUGCUUGCAUUUUUUCUAAAGCAGUACGUAAAGUAACUUCUUUGUCCACGUCAUUGAUUUCAAAACUUCCUACAUUAGAACUCAUCAUGGCAUCAACCACAGUUGUCAAUUCUUUAACCUAUAUGUAUACAAAAAAUUAUU